rnacentral:misc_RNA from 1 species
CGAUCCUAAUUCCUUUGGAUUUUCUUCCAGAAGUAAGUCAAUUCUUCUUGGACAAAGAUCUAUCCUUCUGGAUUGCAUUCAUAGUCCUUUCUGUGAUAGUCUUUUUGCAAGUGCAAAAAGACUAUCAAAUCUUAAUUUCUAAAAAGUCCAAAGGAAAAGGAACUAAUCUUUCGUUUUUAAACGUUCUUUUUUUCAUUGUUCUUUCCGGCUUUCAAUAUCAUGAAAUCGCCUAUUGCGAUGGGGUAAACGCUUUAUCGCCCCCGCCUAGUCCGGUGCAAUUGCCGGAAGAACCGGUUACUCCCCCCGAGGCUCCGCCGGUACCUCAACCGGUACCGCAACCGGUUGUUAUCCCCCAAUUGGCCCAGCCUCUUAUCUCGGAUGACACCCGAAGGAGCCUCCUUUAUCACCGGUACUUAGUCCUCAAUUUCGGGGGGGAUGACGACCUACAACGUAUGGUAUCCAUUAUCGACGCCCAAGUCAUAGUGGAACGAUAUGUGGAGGCCGCAUUGGUGGAUGAUGGAUUUCGUCCCCAUUCCGUUCUUUCCAAAUAUGGGCUAAUUCGCGGGGCUCUCCAUUCUCCGCAAGGGGAGCUUUUGAGUGCACGUACCUAUAACUCGUACGUCACUCAGAUAAGGGAAGAUGGCACCCGACAAAGUGUUCCCUAUCGCCGGAUUAUGAGAGCCAUCCAGAACUAUUAUGUUCUUUUAGAACGAUGAUCUCUAUUUUUAAGAUCAUUGUUUUGGCUCUUAUAUAUCCGUAGUUGGG